GGCAUGUAGUACAGUGGUAGUACAUCUAGGAUUGGUCGUACGGUUAGUACCUGGUCCUACAAGACUCUUGGUUCGAUUCCAAGACUUGCCA